rnacentral:rRNA from 1 species
CACGUAGGCGGAUUGGAAAGUCAGAGGUGAAAUCCCAGAGCUCAACUUUGGAACUGCCUUUGAAACUCCCAGUCUUGAGGUCGAGAGAGGUGAGUGGAAUUCCGAGUGUAGAGGUGAAAUCCGUAGAUAUUCGGAAGAACACCAGUGGCGAAGGCGGCUCACUGGCUCGAUACUGACGCUGAGGUGCGAAAGCGUGGGGAGCAAACA